AUUGAACGCUGGCGGCAGGCCUAACACAUGCCAGUCGAGCGGAUGAAGGGAGCUUGCUCCUGGAUUCAGCGGCGGACGGGUGAGUAAUGCCUAGGAAUCUGCCUGGUAGUGGGGGAUAACGUCCGGAAACGGGCGCUAAUACCGCAUACGUCCUGAGGGAGAAAGAGGGGGAUCUUCGGACCUCACGCUAUCAGAUGAGCAUAGGUCGGAUUAGCUAGUUGGUGGGGUAAAGGCCUACCAAGGCGACGAUCCGUAACUGGUCUGAGAGGAUGAUCAGUCACACUGGAACUGAGACGCGGUCCAGACUCCUACGGGAGGCAGCAGUGGGGAAUAUUGGACAAUGGGCGAAAGCCUGAUCCAGCCAUGCCGCGUGUGUGAAGAAGGUCUUCGGAUUGUAAAGCACUUUAAGUUGGGAGGAAGGGCAGUAAGUUAAUACCUUGCUGUUUUGACGUUACCAACAGAAUAAGCACCGGCUAACUUCGUG
rnacentral:rRNA from 1 species